ensembl:lncRNA
CUCCAUCGCAGCCGGACAAGUAGUGGGGGAACAUGGCGGCGGGGGGUACAGUAUGGAAAAGGGGAAAGAGUGGGAACUUUCCAGUGGAGAAAUCUGACAAACACUUCCCGAUGAUCCAGAUCAACCUCAACCACUGGAUUGAACUCCGGACCUUGCACUUUCGAGGCAGGCACCAGAACCACUGAGCUAAAUCGCCAGCCCCCACAGUUUAUUCUCUAUAAGGACAAAAUGGGGAGCAACUUGGAUUGUGACCUAAAGUUCUUGUCUGCAGAUGGAUUCUGUGAGGAAAUCAAGGUGUGGUUCUGGGAUCAAAAUCAUUGAGAGGAACAAUGGACUCACAACUAAGAAUUUGCCUUAAAUCUCAGAGGAGGCUUCGGACUUGGACUUUUCAGCAGUGCUAAAACUGUUAGGACUUUGGCAACUCUUGGAGAUGGACUAAAUGCUUUUUUUUGUAUAAAGGGAUAUGCACGAGUCUUUGGGGGGCCAGGGGCAGAAUGUUAUGGCUUGUGUCUAGAUAUCCCCCCAAAGUCUCAUGCUUUUUCUGAGGUGGUUGAAUCUACCGUGUGUGGUGCUGGGAGUAAAGGGCAUGUGAUUACUAAACCACAUAAGUGAUUGGUUUGGCACUACCUUAAUCCCUGUAGUCUGGAUGAAAUAAAAGGGGCAGAAAGACACUGUUAAAGUCUCUUGUUGCUUUUGCUGUCUUCUGCCUCCAUGAGCUGUUGCCCUUCUGCCAUCCUGCCUUGGAGCUAGCCGAUUAUGGACUGAAACCUCUACAAACUGUAAGCCAAAUAAACCUUUUCCC